AAGCGAGCCCAGAUGGCUCGGGUCAUCCUCCGAUAGUCAAGGUUCUGACCUCGGCCAGACUCCUAGUCAUCGAUUAGUCAAGAGGGCCAGUUGGCCUGGCGGUCUUCUCUGCAGAGCCACGUCAGAUAGCACCCACAGUGGAGCUAACCCACAGAAUUUCUAUUAGUGACCCCUGCUUUUCUUCAGUGCACAGCAGAGGCAAAAGACCAUCAACACUGAAAAGCACAAGAGACAAAUCCAGUGACUCAGCAGAGGUUAAGCCUGUCGCAAGCAGGCCCUGGCCCAAAAGAUUUAGGGGUGGGUCAAGAACAUCCGAAAUGGCCUGAUGAACCUGUGUUGCUGCAUUCCGUCCAGAAAAAAACCUCCCCUGGGGCACAACAGAGUUGUUCCCCAGAAAUGAAGAACAUGGAAGGAAUCCAGAGAGCAAGCAUCCAACACUGCCCCAGAAGAUCACUAGAGGAUGCCGGAUGCUGCAUCUCUGCAGUCCCAGUAUUGAAGUGGACCCACGUGUGGACACGGACCUGCAGAAGGGAGCGCUGUGAGAGCUGUCACCUUCCAGGUCAGCUGUGGAAGGAUGAAAGCAAAUGAAGAGAUGCCAGGUGGCAAGAGAGCACCUCAAAGGCAUCACUCUUCCUGGUGGAGGUUGAAAACCAGUCCAAAGCUGGUAAAGACCAGAGCCCUUUUGCCGACCAGGGUCACAUCACACACCUCCUCUUGGCACAAGUUCUCGCCUCACUCUUAGUGGAGAAUAUACGUCUUCUCAAUGUGUUUAUCCGACUCUGAGAAUAAAAUAGCUGUUUGUGAAAGAUGACCUCGUAGAUUUUUCUGCAUCUUCUUCACAUAGGGAAAUUGGCCCUGUGGCAUUCCAAGGCCCCAGGAAGCACUGGGUAAUAGGGCCCACCUCAGGGC
rnacentral:lncRNA from 1 species